rnacentral:rRNA from 1 species
CAGCAGCCACGGGAAUACGGAGGGGGCUAGCGUUGUUCGGAAUUACUGGGCGUAAAGCGCACGUAGGCGGCUUGGUAAGUUAGAGGUGAAAGCCUGGAGCUCAACUCCAGAAUUGCCUUUAAGACUGCCGAGCUAGCAGGUGAGAGUGGUAAGUGGAAUUCCGAGUGUAGAGGUGAAAUUCGUAGAUAUUCGGAAGAACACCAGUGGCGAAGGCGGCUUACUGGCUCAUACUGGACGCUGAGGUGCGAAAGCGUGGGGAGCAAACAGGAUUAGAUACCCGCGUAGUCCCUGUCUCUUAUAC